UCACGUGGAUAACUGUGGUAAUUCUAGAGCUAAUACAUGCAACCAAGUCCCGACCAGCGAUGGAAAGGACGCUUUUAUUGGAUCAAAACCAUUCGCCCGGCUCGCCCGGGCGUCUGCUUGAUGACUCUAGAUAACACCACAGAUCGCACGGUCACAGUACCGGCGACGUAUCCGUCAAAUGUCUGACUUAUCAGCUGUCGAUGGUAGACUCUGUGUCUACCAUGGCGCUCACGGGUAACGGGGAAUCAGGGUUCGAUUCCGGAGAGGGAGCCUGAGAAACGGCUACCACAUCCAAGGAAGGCAGCAGGCACGCAAAUUACCCACUCCCGGCACGGGGAGGUAGUGACAAAAAAUAACGAUACGGGACUCAUCCGAGGCCCCGUAAUCGGAAUGAGAACACCCUAAAUCCUUUAACGAGGAUCUAUUGGAGGGCAAGUCUGGUGCCAGCAGCCGCGGUAAUUCCAGCUCCAAUAGCGUAUAUUAAAGUUGUUGCGGUUAAAAAGCUCGUAGUUGGUUCUGCGUGCCACGCUGUCGGUUCACCGCCUGUCGGUGCAACUGGCAUGCCGUGGCAUGUCCUGUCGGUGGCUGACAGGCUUCGCGGCGCGCCCUGCUCGCUCACGCUUGUAGGUCGACGCGCCGUGUUGUCCUCGUUGGCCGGCUCAAUCCUACCGCGGUGCUCUUAAACGAGUGUCGAGGUAGGCCGACACUGUUUACUUUGAACAAAUUAGAGUGCUUCAAGCAGGCUCUGAAAGCAGCCUGAAUAGUGGUGCAUGGAAUAAUGGAACAGGACCUUGGUUCUAUUUUGUUGGUUUCCGGAAUCCAAGGUAAUGAUCAAUAAGGACAGGCGGGGGCAUUCGUAUUGCGACGUUAGAGGUGAAAUUCUUGGAUCGUCGCAAGACGCACUAGAGCGAAA
rnacentral:rRNA from 1 species